GUAUUAUGUGUUUUACAGUUGAUGGAACAUUAUUUACUUCACAAGUAUUAAAAGUGAAUUGAUACAGAAACAUGAUGUUGUAUUUUCACAGGAAUUACUGAAACAAUCCCAGACUCUGUUUGGAGCUUGAUGGUUGAUCAUGCAGUGGAUGUGACUUUCGACCCUGAC